rnacentral:sRNA from 1 species
AACGCGGCGUGGGCCGGGCCUCGCGUAGCCCAUCUCCUCUUCCUCCUGGCGGUCGCGGCCGGACGGCGGGUGGAGGGCCCUGCGCCUGCGCGGAGCUGGAGUCCGGCUGGGCCGCAGCCGCUGGGAGACCGGCGGUUGCCGUGGGGACCGGUCGGGCCCCUCCCUCCUCUGGUCCCCCGCCCCAGGUUCUUCCCCACCGAGACGCGCCGGCGGACCGCGGGCGAGUGCAACCGGUGACCCGGCGAGAGGCGGCGCCGCUCCCAAGAUGUCGCAGACGGCCAUGUCCGAAACCUACGAUUUUUUGUUUAAGUUCUUGGUUAUUGGAAAUGCAGGAACUGGCAAAUCUUGCUUACUUCAUCAGUUUAUUGAAAAAAAAUUCAAAGAUGACUCAAAUCAUACAAUAGGAGUGGAAUUUGGUUCAAAGAUAAUAAAUGUUGGUGGUAAAUAUGUAAAGUUACAAAUAUGGGAUACAGCAGGACAAGAACGAUUCAGGUAGCUUUUCUCUAACUUAAUAAAAAUAUUUGAAAAUUU